rnacentral:misc_RNA from 1 species
CCACUCGGCAAAGUACGACGUCUUUGUGUGUAUGUGUGCUCUUCGGGGUCGUCUUCCUAUUUCUGGACGCGCUACCUCUUAAAACACACACAUAUAUACCGAUAACGCACUGCGCACACGGGCGAAGCGUAUCCGUGGCGUAUGUUUUGAAAGGAGGGAGAGCACACAGAAGAAAAAGAAAGGAAUAAUAGGAAACAGAGAUGCGCCGGACUGUGCGUGCUCUCUACAACUCCUUCGAGCGCGGAUGGAAGGACAAGACUGUCCACCCGCUUGACCGCCGUGGCCGCUUUAACCUGGAUGAGGCCGCUGCGGAGCUGCAGCUGGAUGAGGCGUACGUCGCCUCUCUCUACAAGCCAUUACAUUACACGUAUUCGAUGAAGGGGCAGCGCUAUCCAGCCGAGCAGGGUCGCACCAGCCGUCCAGGAUCGUUGGCAGCCUCGCGGGAUCGCAUGUUUCCCUUGUACCGGCGAAACUACAAGCUGGAUCGUGAACUGCGUGUUCUGGACCACCGGCGCAUCUCAACAGACUAACGCGACUGUCUCCAUCAUCCACCUUCUCUUUUCCCUGGUAACUGGUUGAGGUAGGAGGUGGAUGGUAAAGGUCGCCGUGUGUUCCCUCUCCAGCGAAGGUAUACCUAUGUGCGUAUUACUGUUGGUGUCGUGUGGGUGUUGAAGAUGACGCGUGCGACAGCGUUGGCGGCGUGCCUGCAUAAAUCAUAUUGCAUCGUCAUCUCGUGUCUUCUCUGUGCCUCUGUUGCUGCAACACCGCGAGGCUGUGCUAGCGCUUUCCUUUUUCAUGAUGGCUCCGAAUCCUGGGUGCUCUUUCACACAAACACAGCCGCACAAGUGUGCCGGCUCGGCAGCGUGCCAAAGCGAAGAGCACGCGCUCUCCGGGCUGCGGAGGGUGUGAAUUUCACGCGGUGCGCCGAUAUCGGUCUCGUAUUGAUGCAUUCAGAACACUACGUAUUGUCGGUGUCGUAUGGAUGGCCGCUCUGUCUAGCGCUGACGCGAUGGUGCCGGCACCGUCGGCGUUGUGGGGGUGUGCUGCUCAGUCCCUUUUCUUCCGUCCCACACUUUGGCAGAAACUGCCGACACCUUUCAUCAAGGAAGCAGAUGAAGGGGGGGGGGGGCAUAUAACCGACUGCCGAGUACGUGUGCGCCUUUUCUUCACCGCUUCUCUUGCACUGCCUCACCUGUUUGCGAGGCACACCGUUCGCCUUUCUACCUCUCUCACGCUACCACACCCACCCACCCCUUCUUCCUCCCUCUCCCUUUGCCUAUUUGUUCGCUGACCACUGGUGCACGUAUACAUAUAUAUAUAUAUACAUAUACAUAUAUAUAUAUAUAUAUAUAUAUAUAUGUAUAUACAUAUACACGUUCGCACGUGCCCCCCUUCCCCCUCCUCCUCCUCUGCGAUCCAAUCUCCAUCAAG